ensembl:lncRNA
AGGGGGUAUCCUGGGAACCCCCCUCCCCUCCUCCUUCUCUCACUCAGCACAUGCACUGAGAAAAGGUCAUGUGAGUAACACAGUCUGCAAGCCAAGAAGAGCACUCUUACAGAAACUGCAUCAGUCAGCACCUUGAUGUUGGACUUCCCAACCUCCAGACUGCAAACUUCAGGGCUUCCCAGAUGGUGCUAGUAUUAAAGAACCCAUCUGCCAAUGAAGGAGACAUAAGAGACACAGGUUUGAUCCCUGGGUGGGGAAGAUCCCCUGGAAGAGGGUAUAACAACCCACUCCAGUGUUCUUGCCUGGAGAAUCCCAUGGACAGAGGAGCCUGGCAGGCUACACGAAUGAAGCGACUUGGCACGCAUGAACGAAAACUUCAGUGUGCGUCAGUACCACCUGUGGGGCUUCUGAAAACACAGAUCUACUGGGCCCUGCCCUCAGGAGGUCCUGAACUAUAGCCCUCCGGGGACCUCUAUUCACGGGAUUUCCCAGGCAAGAAUAGCAGAGUCGGUUGCCGUUUCCUUCUCCAGGGGAUCUUCAUGACCCAGAGAUUGAACCCACAUUUCCAGCAUUGCAGGCAGACUCUUAAUCACUGAGCCACAUGUGCAUACGACUGAAAUCAUUCUAUAUAUACAAUUUUGUACUUGAUUUUUCUUUCUUUUGGUAUUCUCUUUUGACUAUUGUCCAUAUUAUUUAAAAAUUAGCAAGUACAGGGUAUAUUAACAAUCGGGUUAUUGCUUUGAACUACCAGUGAUAUUGUUGCUUCCCUUGGGAAAGGGUCUUCAGAGCUCCUUAAUCUAUUAUUUUGGAAUAAUAAUUUUGGGAGCCUUGGGCUCCCUUCUCAUUUUUUCAUCCCUUAACAGGCGUUGGUGGGAGGACCAUGGGUAAAUAGGCAGUUGAUGAUCAAAUGUCUUCCCUUUGUGUAAAGGUUCUCUUGAGCAAAUAAUAAGUGUUAGUCGCUCAUCGUGUCCGACUUUUUGUGACCCCAUGGACUGUAGCUUAUCAGGAUCCUCUGUCCAU